rfam:Rattus norvegicus chromosome 10, whole genome shotgun sequence.
GGGGAUUUAGCUCAACGGUAGAGCGCUUGCCUAGCAAGCACAAGGCCCUGGGUUCGGUCCCCAGCUCCG